UACAGGAGGGGCAAGCGUUGUUCGGAAUUACUGGGCGUAAAGGGUUCGUAGGUGGCCAACUAAGUCAGACGUGAAAUCCCUCAGCUUAACUGGGGAACUGCGUCUGAUACUGGAUGGCUUGAGUGUAGGAGAGGAAUGCGGAGUUCCAGGUGUAGCGGUGAAAUGCGUAGAUAUCUGGAGGAACACCGGUGGCGAAGGCGGCAUUCUGGACUACAACUGACACUGAGGAACGAAAGCCAGGGGAGCAAACGGG
rnacentral:rRNA from 1 species